AGAGUCAGCCAGGCAGUCGCUCUUGAUCAGGUUUGUCCUGGUCGGGGGAGGAAAGUCCGGGCUCCAUAGGGUAAGGUGCCAGGUAACGCCUGGGCGGUGAAAACCGACGGAAAGUGCAGCAGAAAGUAUACCGCCUAAGCCAGUUCGCUGGCCGGUAAGGUUGAAAAGGUGCGGUAAGAGCGCACCGCGCGACUGGUAACAGAUCGUGGCGAUGGAAAACCCCACCCGGAGCAAGACCAAAUAGGAAUCCAUUGGCGUGACCCGCGCUGGAUUCGGGUAGGUUGCUAGAGGCGCACGGUGACGCGCGUCCCAGAGGAAUGACUGUCCACGACAGAACCCGGCUUAUCGGCUGACUCUAUAU
rnacentral:RNase_P_RNA from 2 species